CGCAUUUUGCUGGUUGGUUAGUCUAAAUUCACCCGUAAUAAAAUGCAUAGGCUAAGUACCAGCUGUGAAUUGGCUCAAGUGUAAUAUAAGUGUUUUCUUUUGUACAGCAUUUUGUGGGAGUACUUCACAGUGUGGGCUACAUUUUGUCUGGAAAAAAUGAAGAAAAGAGCUACAAUAAGUAUGAGCAAUAUGAACACAGGCUCCUCUUCCGCAGGCUCAUGUUAUGACAAAAGAUUGAUUGGUGGACGAAGAUGGGCUCUCCUGAUUGGUGCUAUCAGAGGGAAUAGACCUGUGAUUACAGCAUGAAAAAGGGAACACCCAUCACUCGCUCCAUAAUUCCACCUGACGAUGCUUUGUGAGACAG